rnacentral:rRNA from 1 species
UACGUAGGGUCCGAGCGUUGUCCGGAAUUAUUGGGCGUAAAGGGCUCGUAGGCGGUUUGUCGCGUCGGGAGUGAAAACCAUGAGCUUAACUCAUGGCUGGCUUCCGAUACGGGCAGACUGGAGGUAUGCAGGGGAGAAUGGAAUUCCUGGUGUAGCGGUGAAAUGCGCAGAUAUCAGGGGGAACACCGGUGGCGAAGGCGGUUCUCUGGGCCGAUACUGACGCUGAGGAGCGAAAGCGUGGGGAGCGAACAGG